AUUGAAAGGUGGUAUACUUAAAUGUAAUAAACACUAACCUUAAACAUGAGUGGUUAUAAGGUUUGCUAUAUGGGAUGUAUAUGCAAAAAUCCCUUUUCACAAUUCCCCUCCCUGAUCGUCUCUUUCAUUCCCCAUCUCUUCAGAGAUCAGACAAAAAACCCUAACAGCGGCCUUAAUUCCCCACCCUCUCUGGUGGUGGUGCCAUUACUAAGUGACCUCAAAUCGAUACCACAUAACGACCAUGAUCCCCUCAUUCAAAAUUCUCACUCUGUUUCCCUUAAAUCCAAAGCUCGAUCCCUAAAAUCCCAAGGCCAAAUCUAUACAUGCAAGGUUGUCCCUCCUGUUCUCCUUAGUAUUCAAGGUCUAGUUUAUCACAUAAUGAUGUUAUUCGCUUGUUCUUGACAAAGAACAUGCGAUUUACAUUAUUUAGGGCUAAAUCAGAACAUCUCCGGUGAUUUCGAGUAUAAAUCGGUGAGUUUUUUUUUGGCUUUUUGGCUCGUUCUUCUGCCUCGCUUCGUCGUCUUCUUCUUAUUAUUAUUAUUAUUAUUAUUAUUAUUAUUAUUAUUAUUAUUAUUAUUAUUAUUAUU
rnacentral:lncRNA from 1 species